rnacentral:tRNA from 1 species
AGUAAGGUCAGCUAAUUAAGCUUUUGGGCCCAUACCCCGAACACGUUGGUUAAAGUCCUUCCCCUACU